GCCGCUCCCCAACCGCUGCGUUCUCUGCUACCAACAAUGCUCUUCUCCUGCUUGAUCGGCAGUCGAGAAGAACAUCUCCCUUGCAGAUGAGAAAUUCGGAGUAAUCUUCAAAAUCAGCCUGUGCCUUGAGUCCAUCUUCGACUCUAAGGCCUCAGGACUGCCCGCGAGGGUCCAGCACGAUUCGUGCCCACAAUCGGCAUCAGAAAUUUACAGGGCUUCUUGAGGGCCCGUGUUCGCCCCGUCGUUCACGUUGGUCAUUCUUGGAGGACUCCCUAUGGAAGAGCCGUUGUGAAGAUUGUAUGGCGCGUCUCACUAGAUGAGAGCGGACUUACUUUAGUGCAAUCGCAGCGGAAGUCUGCCUGUUUCGAGUGAACAGGCCAGGUUUCAAUUCGAUUCCGAUUACUCUGGGGGGCGGC
rnacentral:RNase_P_RNA from 1 species